UUUUGAGAAAAGAAAAGGCUUCAUUGUGAGGUUGACCAGCAAGUAGACAGGAGGCAAAGCUCUCAAAUCUGUCUCCUUGAUCCAAGGUUUAGGGCAGAAUCUCAGAGG